rnacentral:rRNA from 1 species
GACGAACGCUGGCGGCGUGCUUAACACAUGCAAGUCGAACGGAAAGGCCCUGCUUUUGUGGUGUGCUCGAGUGGCGAACGGGUGAGUAACACGUGAGUAACCUGCCCUUGACUUUGGGAUAACUUCAGGAAACUGGGGCUAAUACCGGAUAGGAGCUCCUGCUGCAUGGUGGGGGUUGGAAAGUUUCGGCGGUUGGGGAUGGACUCGCGGCUUAUCAGCUUGUUGGUGGGGUAGUGGCUUACCAAGGCUUUGACGGGUAGCCGGCCUGAGAGGGUGACCGGCCACAUUGGGACUGAGAUACGGCCCAGACCCCUACGGGAGGCAGCAGUGGGGAAUAUGGCACAAUGGGCGGAAGCCUGAUGCAGCAACGCCGCGUGCGGGAUGACGGCCUUCGGGUUGUAACCCGCUUUCGCCGGUGACGAAGCGUGAGUGACGGUAAUGAGUAAAGAAGCACCGGCUAACUACGUG